CCUGGCUCAGAUUGAACGCUGGCGGCAUGCCUUACACAUGCAAGUCGAACGGCAGCGGACCUUCGGGUGCCGGCGAGUGGCGAACGGGUGAGUAAUAUAUCGGAACGUACCUUUCAGUGGGGGAUAACGUAGCGAAAGUUACGCUAAUACCGCAUAUUCUGUGAGCAGGAAAGCAGGGGAUCGCAAGACCUUGCGCUGAUUGAGCGGCCGAUAUCAGAUUAGCUAGUUGGUGAGGUAAAGGCUCACCAAGGCGACGAUCUGUAGCGGGUCUGAGAGGAUGAUCCGCCACACUGGAACUGAGACGCGGUCCAGACUCCUACGGGAGGCAGCAGUGGGGAAUUUUGGACAAUGGGCGCAAGCCUGAUCCAGCCAUGCCGCGUGAGUGAAGAAGGCCUUCGGGUUGUAAAGCUCUUUCGGCCGGGAAGAAAUCGCACAGGUUAAUACCCUGUGUGGAUGACGGUACCGGAAUAAGAAGCACCGGCUAACUACGUG
rnacentral:rRNA from 1 species